CGGAGGGUGCGAGCGUUGUCCGGAAUCACUGGGCGUAAAGGGCGCGUAGGUGGCUCGGUAAGCGGGCGGUGAAAGUCCAGGGCUCAACCCCGGAUCUGCCGUGCGGACUGCCGUGGCUUGAGCACUGUAGAGGCAGGUAGAAUUCCGGGUGUAGCGGUGGAAUGCGUAGAGAUCCGGAAGAAUACCGGUGGCGAAGGCGGCCUGCUGGGCAGUUGCUGACACUGAGGCGCGACAGCGUGGGGAGCAAACAGGAUUAGAUACCCUGGUAGUCCACGCCGUAAACGAUGGGCACUAGGUGCUUGGGGGAGCGACCCCUUGAGUGCCGUCGCUAACGCAGUAAGUGCCCCGCCUGGGGAGUACGACCGCAAGGUUG
rnacentral:rRNA from 1 species